rnacentral:rRNA from 1 species
AAUGAACGCUGGCGGCGUGCCUAACACAUGCAAGUCGGAUGUGCCGCAAGGUGCAUGGCAGACGGGUGAGUAACGCGUAGGGAAUCUACCUUUUUGUGGGGAAUAACGCUCCGAAAGGAGUGGUAAUACCGCAUGAGACCGUGAGCUGGGAUGUUCACGGUGAAACCUGGGGACCGCAAGGCCUGGGGCAAAAAGAGGAUCCUGCGUCUGAUUAGCUAGUUGGCGGGGUAAUGGCCCACCAAGGCGACGAUCAGUAGCCGGCCUGAGAGGGUGAUCGGCCACUCUGGAACUGAGACACGGUCCAGACUCCUACGGGAGGCAGCAGUGGGGAAUUUUGCGCAAUGGACGAAAGUCUGACGCAGCAACGCCGCGUGGGUGAUGAAGGUCUUCGGACUGUAAAACCCCGUCGUCAGGGACGAAGGUGGCAGUGUUAAUAGCGCUGUUACUUGACGGUACCUGGAGAGGAAGCCCCGGCUAACUCUGUG